CACGUAGGGGACGAGCGUUGUCCGGAUUCAUUGGGCGUAAAGCGCGCGUGGGCGGCCCGGAAAGUCGGAUGUGAAAACCUGGGGCUCAACCCCAGGCGUGCACCCGAUACUCCCGGGCUGGAGGCAGGUAGGGGAGAUCGGAAUUCCUGGUGUAGCGGUGAAAUGCGCAGAUAUCAGGAGGAACACCGGUGGCGAAGGCGGAUCUCUGGGCCUUGCCUGACGCUGAGGCGCGAAAGCUAGGGGAGCGAACAGG
rnacentral:rRNA from 1 species